rnacentral:tRNA from 1 species
GGUUGUGGCUCAGAGGUAGAGCGCUUGCCUCACAUGGGUGAGGCACUGGGUUUGAUUCUCAGCACCA